UAUGGCAGAAUAGUGCAAUGGAUUUAAGUCCCAUAUAUAAAAAUAAUAUUUUUAUUAAAA
rnacentral:tRNA from 1 species